GAUGAACGCUGGCGGCGUGCCUAAUACAUGCAAGUCGAGCGAACAGAUGAGGAGCUUGCUCCUCUGACGUUAGCGGCGGACGGGUGAGUAACACGUGGAUAACCUACCUAUAAGACUGGGAUAACUUCGGGAAACCGGAGCUAAUACCGGAUAAUAUAUUGAACCGCAUGGUUCAAUAGUGAAAGACGGUUUUGCUGUCACUUAUAGAUGGAUCCGCGCCGCAUUAGCUAGUUGGUAAGGUAACGGCUUACCAAGGCAACGAUGCGUAGCCGACCUGAGAGGGGGAUCGGCCACACUGGAACGGAGACACGGUCCAGACUCCUACGGGAGGCAGCAGUAGGGAAUCUUCCGCAAUGGGCGAAAGCCUGACGGAGAAACGCCGCGUGAGUGAGGAAGGUCUUCGGAUCGUAAAACUCUGUUAUUAGGGAAGAAAAAAUGUGUAAGUAACGAUGCACGUCUUGACGGUACCUAAGCAGAAAGCCACGGCUAACUACGU
rnacentral:rRNA from 1 species